rnacentral:rRNA from 1 species
UACGGGGGGGGCAAGCGUUGUUCGGAAUUACUGGGCGUAAAGGGCGCGUAGGCGGCAAUUCAAGUCAUCUGUGAAAUCUCCGGGCUUAACUCGGAACGGUCAGAUGAUACUGCUUUGCUCGAGUGCGGAAGGGGCAAUCGGAAUUCUUGGUGUAGCGGUGAAAUGCGUAGAUAUCAAGAGGAACACCUGAGGUGAAGACGGGUUGCUGGGCCGACACUGACGCUGAAGCGCGAAAGCCAGGGGAGCAAACGGG